rnacentral:RNase_P_RNA from 1 species
AGAAGUAAAAGUAUGACUUUUGGAUUUUGAGGAAGGUCCGCCCACCAUAAAAAAGCCAUCUUUCGAAAGAGAGAUUGUCGUGAGGCAAAGCCCUGCUACAGAAACGCCACAGCCGUUUUGGAGUUAUGAAUCGUGAGAUGAACUAAGAAGAAACGGAUUUGAUGAAACGGGCAACUUGGCUGGUGCAAGAGUAACCUAUUGGUACGCUCGCUUAGUCAGAUGUUAGAAUGUUCUGUUCGGAAACGAAGAACAACAGAAGGUGGCCUACUCCAACU